UUUGAUGAGAAGGUGACUUUCUGUCCCUAAACUGUGCAGGAUCGGCAACACUCGCUCCUGAUAGUGCAGAGGACGCUCUGGGGAGGGAGAGAGAGAAAGAGAGAGAGAGAGAUUAAGAGAGAGAGAGAGAGAGAGAGAGAGAGAGAGAGAGAGAGAGAGAGAGAGAGAGAGAGAGAGAGAGAGAGAGAGAGAGAGAGAGAGAGAGAGAGAGA